rnacentral:ncRNA from 1 species
GACACUCUGGAGAAGCCCGGGGAAACCGGGUGCCGAAGGUGCAAGGCGCGGAAAUGUGCCAAUCUCUCAGGCAAAAGGACAGAGCAU